rnacentral:lncRNA from 1 species
AGAAUGUAUUACAUGAAAAUUCGAAUUUCUGAUUAACUGCCAUAUAUUAUAUUAUUUGAAUAACUUUAGGAAAGAUUAAUUUCCAAGCUCUGUCCCUGGUAGUAUUUUUUCCUGGCUGAAAUUGGGCUUUAAAACAAAACGUCAGCAAUGCAAGCUGACGAUUCCAGUUACAGGUUCAGAAACUUCGAGUGCAGGCAGUUAAAAGUGAUUUAAGAAAGGCAAAAUCAUUCUUUCACAAAUGUGUAUGUUAAACUUGUAAAUUGAUAUAUCAAAACCACAACCGGAAUAUAGCAAUUUGUCUCUCUUUGCCUGCUGUGGUGUCUCCCGCAGCUGCCUGCCAGAUAAUAUACUGAUUGUAACUUUCC